UACGAAGGGUGCAAGCGUUAAUCGGAAUUACUGGGCGUAAAGGGUGCGUAGGCGGUUGUUUAAGUCUGUCGUGAAAUCCCCGGGCUCAACCUGGGAAUGGCGAUGGAUACUGGGCAGCUAGAGUGUGUCAGAGGAUGGUGGAAUUCCCGGUGUAGCGGUGAAAUGCGUAGAGAUGUGGAGGAAUACCGAUGGCGAAGGCAGCCCCCUGGGAUAAUACUGACGCUGAGGCGCGAAAGCGUGGGGAGCAAACAGG
rnacentral:rRNA from 1 species